CUAAGUUAUAACGAGGUAAACAGCGUAAUGAUCUUAAUGUUUUUAUGGAAAAACCUGCAGUUCAAGUGGCAUAAAAAAUAUAGUAUUACAAUUUUUAGAUUUGACGAACACAUAAGGACUGAUUUAGUGCGAAUAAUAAUUAUUCCAAAAAAAUAAGGUUGAUUGUAUCAUUUUACCUUUCGUAACAGGUCCCGAAAAAUUAAGGAAUAGAGAAUAGAGGAAUAGGGAAGAUCUUCAUAACCGCAUUUUAUUUAUUUAUUUUGAAUGGCAAGUGAUUGAUGAGUAAGCC